GGUCCAACAUGCCGAAGGAACAGCAACACGGUUCUUGUGCUUCAUCCAGCAAGAAUGCUAAAAAUAAGAGCAACCGCACAACUCUGCUGGCAAUGCGUGACGCCAGAGACAAAGACGCCUCCAGCGGGACGUCCUUCCGGUGCAGUUCGGAAAAAGACUCCGGAUACUCUGACGGGCAGCAGACCGACGUGGAGGACCAGGACAAAAGCCAGCGCAGAGGAGGCGAGCGGGCGGGACCUGCGCAGACGGGACGCAACGAAGGUCUUGGGCGCGGGAAUCCUGGGAGACCGAGCCCAACGCCAGCAGGCGGCGAGCUCCCGCCCAUCUACAUCAUCAACAACAUCGUGAUCCAGCAGGGACGUCACCAGGACGUGAUCCAGAACCGAGAUCAGCGCCCCCAGAGGAGCGUCUGCAUGGAGGACGGAGGUUCUGCCGGUGCUCGUGUGAUCCUGGCGCCGGCCACUCGCCAGGUCCACGGGUUCUUCCCGAGUUCCAUCAUCACAGGGAGGAAAAUAAAUGGCACUUACCGCCUCUGUGAGCGGCCCCGAUCUGCAGCCUCCAGCUCUCCCGAUCGCCCGUCUUCCUCCAGUCCCACCACGGGGCCCGUAAGCCAAAGCACCCCGCCCGGUUCCGCCGCCUCCUCCGUCCUCAAAACCAGAGGACCGCACGGAAACGGCUCCACCAGAACUCGCCAGCUCCGGUUCCACGACACCGCGGAAAUCCUGAGGCAGUCGGGUCUGUUGGACAUAACGCUGCGAACGAAGGAGCUGCUGCGGCAGAGCAACGCCACGGCGCGGGACGUGGCCCAGCUUCGCCGGCACACGGAGCUGCUGUGCCGGGCCGUCAGCGACCCCGGCGCGACCCCGGAGCAGCUGCACCGAGCCAUGGCCGAGUCGGGCAGCUACCCCGGCAUAGAAAUCCUGAGAAACUUUCAAAUUCCAGAUUCCAGCGAUUCCGAGGUGCCGUCGGCCGGUCUUCUCCGGGCCCGAGGCCCGCCGGCGGAGAAAGACCGCUUCACGCCUCCCGACAGCUCCACCGGGAUUACCCAAAAUGUCUCUCUGGGUCAACGAGAAGCCAACAAUUACUCGUAUUUAUUGUAUAUUUCAGUUUGUGUUUUGUUUCCAGUUGUCGGAUGUCAUCGGGUUUGA
ensembl:lncRNA